rnacentral:rRNA from 1 species
CAGCCGUAAACUAUGCGCGUUAGGUGUACUGGUGACCACGAGCCACCGGGGUGCCGAAGGGAAACCGUGAAACGUGCCGCCUGGGAAGUACGGUCGCAAGGCUGAAACUUAAAGGAAUUGGCGGGGGGAGCACCACAACGGGUGGAGCCUGCGGUUUAAUUGGACUCAACGCCGGAAAUCUCACCGGAUAGGACAGACAUAUGAUAGUCGGGCUGAAGACUCUACUUGAUGAUCUGAGAGGAGGUGCAUGGCGUCAGUGACU